CAGAUCAGUCAUAAUCAGGGGAAGAUAGCGUAACUCUAUCACUAUGCCGUAACCGUUACAGUCGGGCUGCCUGAGUCCUU
rnacentral:ncRNA from 2 species